ACGCUGGCGGCGUGCCUAAUACAUGCAAGUUGAGCGCUGAAGGUUGGUACUUGUACCAACUGGAUGAGCAGCGAACGGGUGAGUAACGCGUGGGGAAUCUGCCUUUGAGCGGGGGACAACAUUUGGAAACGAAUGCUAAUACCGCAUAAAAACUUUAAACACAAGUUUUAAGUUUGAAAGAUGCAAUUGCAUCACUCAAAGAUGAUCCCGCGUUGUAUUAGCUAGUUGGUGAGGUAAAGGCUCACCAAGGCGAUGAUACAUAGCCGACCUGAGAGGGUGAUCGGCCACAUUGGGACUGAGACACGGCCCAAACUCCUACGGGAGGCAGCAGUAGGGAAUCUUCGGCAAUGGACGAAAGUCUGACCGAGCAACGCCGCGUGAGUGAAGAAGGUUUUCGGAUCGUAAAACUCUGUUGGUAGAGAAGAACGUUGGUGAGAGUGGAAAGCUCAUCAAGUGACGGUAACUACCCAGAAAGGGACGGCUAGCUACGUGCCAGCAGCCGCGGUAAUACGUAGGUCCCGAGCGUUGUCCGGAUUUAUUGGGCGUAAAGCGAGCGCAGGUGGUUUAUUAAGUCUGGUGUAAAAGGCAGUGGCUCAACCAUUGUAUGCAUUGGAAACUGGUAGACUUGAGUGCAGGAGAGGAGAGUGGAAUUCCAUGUGUAGCGGUGAAAUGCGUAGAUAUAUGGAGGAACACCGGUGGCGAAAGCGGCUCUCUGGCCUGUAACUGACACUGAGGCUCGAAAGCGUGGGGAGCAAAC
rnacentral:rRNA from 1 species